AUUUACUCCAACGUCAUAAUAUCCCAACGGCUGCAACAAUACCCAUAUAUAGCGUCUGCAUACAACAUUCAAAUUUUAACAAUUCAAAGUUCAACAGAGAAGCAUACACGGGGACGGUUUGAUCUCUUCUUCCCCGGUGACGUUGAUCGUCUUCUUCCAGAGAUGCCGUCAACUCUACGAGCUCCAGAUGUUGAUAAUCUGGGUAUUUUCAUCGACCCAUUCCAAUUUGUUGAUAAUCUGGGUAUUUUCAUCGACCCAUUCCAAUUUGUUGAUAAUCUGGGUUUUCAGUUUGAGAAUUGUGUGUACAGAUGCCUCGUUAUGAUGAUCGGAUGGGAAAUAGCACUCACCUCUAUGUGGGACACCUGUCUUCACGGACCAGUUCACAUGAUCUGCAUUCAGUAAAUAUGGAAGUCUAUAUCCUGCAGAUGAUGUUUUCCUAAUCAUGGUUAGUGCACGUUCUGUAGCACGUCAUGCUUGCUGGAAGCCUUCAUAGUCCAACCACAUUCGUCCGAAAAGCAUACCAAAACAUAGUUGUGUACAUUUUUUCAUCAUAUUAAUACAUAUAACAAUUACAUUGUAUAAUAUACAAAACAAUAAUGUUUAAAGUAAUAAAACAAUGAAUUACACGAAUGUAUCAACUGUUUUUGAAGAAAAUUAUUUUUACACGUA